rnacentral:rRNA from 1 species
UGGGGAAUCUUGCGCAAUGGGCGAAAGCCUGACGCAGCCAUGCCGCGUGAAUGAUGAAGGUCUUAGGAUUGUAAAAUUCUUUUAGCAGGGACGAUAAUGACGGUACCUGCAGAAAAAGCCCCGGCUAACUUCGUGCCAGCAGCCGCGGUAAUACGAAGGGGGCUAGCGUUGCUCGGAAUUACUGGGCGUAAAGGGAGCGUAGGCGGGUUAUCAAGUUGGAGGUGAAAGCCCAGGGCUCAACCUUGGAAUUGCCUUCAAAACUGAUAACCUAGAGGAUGAUAGAGGUAAGUGGAACUCCGAGUGUAGAGGUGAAAUUCGUAGAUAUUCGGAAGAACACCAGUGGCGAAGGCGACUUACUGGAUCAUUACUGACGCUGAGGCUCGAAAGCGUGGGGAGCAAA